GGAAGUGAGAAGUAAGGAAAGUCUUUCUCCAAUCUCGCGCUUUUGCUCUCCGACUCCGACGAAGUAAGCUGAGGCUUGAUCUUCUUCUUCAAAAUCAAUCCAUUACAGUAUUGUAGUCUUUGCUAUGUUCCCACGGCAUUGAUCGCCAUUUCUCAGCUUCAUUUGGAAGAAGAAAUUGCCCAACGAUGCCUUCUCUGCAAACCGCUUUGCCUCCUGAACUUGCCAAUAACGCCAUUAGGCUUUACCGUGAGUGUCUUCGAAGAGCUAAAUAUAUUGGACAUCGGCAACAUAACACACAACUUCUCAUUGAUAUGGUUAGACAGCAAUUUAAAAAGAACAUGCACGAGACUGAUCCAGAAAAAAUUCAGAAAUUGAAGGAUGAUGCUGCAAGAGGACUUAUCAACCACAUACUUUAUGAGUCUGAGAAGAUGUCUGGUCGUAAAUUCAGCAAAAGCACAUGAUUUUUGUUUGGAAUUUUUCGAUCUAUGAUUGAAGUUGGUUUAUUAGAUGAAAAUUUUCAGUUAACAUAUAAAUAAAGAGCAAGACCUCUGUACUGUUAUCAUCUUCUGUUUAUGUUUAUGACUAUCAUCUGGUGAGUGUUCAAGCUUCUUGUGCUGAAUGAAAUAUCACGGCAGGAUUUAUCAUAAAAAAAAA
rnacentral:misc_RNA from 1 species